rnacentral:rRNA from 1 species
CUGCCUCUAGGUCGGGGACAACAAUUGGAAACGAUUGCUAAUACCCGAUGUGCAGCAAUGUGAAAGAUUUAUUGCCUAGAGAUGAGCUCGCGUCUGAUUAGCUAGUAGGUGUGGUAAUGGCGCACCUAGGCGACGAUCAGUAACUGGUCUGAGAGGAUGACCAGUCACACUGGGACUGAGACACGGCCCAGACUCCUACGGGAGGCAGCAGUGGGGAAUUUUCCGCAAUGGGCGAAAGCCUGACGGAGCAAUACCGCGUGAGGGACGAAGGCUUUUGGGUCGUAAACCUCUUUUCCCUGAGAAGAAGAUCUGACGGUAUCAGGGGAAUCAGCAUCGGCUAACUUCGUGCCAGCAGCCGCGGUAAUACGAGGGAUGCAAGCGUUAUCCGGAAUUAUUGGGCGUAAAGCGUCCGCAGGUGGCUCUGUAAGUCUGUCGUUAAAGAAUGGGGCUCAACCCCAUACAGGCGAUGGAAACUACAAGGCUAGAGUUUGGUAGGGGUCACGGGAAUUCCUAGUGUAGCGGUGAAAUGCGUAGAUAUUAGGAAGAACACCAGCGGCGAAAGCGCGUGACUGGGCCAGUACUGACACUCAUGGACGAAAGCUAGGGGAGCGAAAGGGAUUAGAUACCCCUGUAGUCCUAGCCGUAAACGAUGAUAACUAGGUGUUGCCCGUAUCGACCCGGGCAGUGCCGUAGCCAACGCGUUAAGUUAUCCGCCUGGGGAGUACGCACGCAAGUGUGAAACUCAAAGGAAUUGACGGGGGCCCGCACAAGCGGUGGAGUAUGUGGUUUAAUUCGAUGCAACGCGAAGAACCUUACCAAGGCUUGACAUGUCGCGAAUUCCCUUGAAAGGGGGAAGUGCCUUCGGGAGCGCGAACACAGGUGGUGCAUGGCUGUCGUCAGCUCGUGUCGUGAGAUGUUGGGUUAAGUCCCGCAACGAGCGCAACCCACGUUUUUAGUUGCCAUCAUUUAGUUGGGCACUCUAGAGAGACUGCCGGUGACAAACCGGAGGAAGGUGUGGAUGACGUCAAGUCAGCAUGCCCCUUACGCCUUGGGCUACACACGUACUACAAUGCUACGGACAAAGGGCUGCCAACUCGCGAGAGUGCGCUAAUCCCAUAAACCGUAGCUCAGUUCAGAUUGCAGGCUGCAACUCGCCUGCAUGAAGGCGGAAUCGCUAGUAAUCGCAGGUCAGCAUACUGCGGUGAAUACGUUCCCGGGCCUUGUACACACCGCCCGUCACACCAUGGAAGUUGGCCACGCCCGAAGUCGUUACCCUAACCGUAAGGAGGGGGGCGCCUAAGGCAGGGCUGAUGACUGGGGUGAAGUCGUAACAAGGUAGCCGUACCGGAAGGUGUGGCUGGAUCACCUCCUUUUAGGGAGACCUUACCCUUCUAACUCUGAAUUGAGUAAGAGUAGAUAGAGGUUAUCUCAAGGUCGGUCGAGGUUAUAUGUGUUAGCUUCCAAAUUUUGCUCUGGUUUUAAUUAAUCAGUACGGGCUAUUAGCUCAGAUGGUUAGAGCGCACCCCUGAUAAGGGUGAGGUCCCUGGUUCGAGUCCAGGAUGGCCCACCUUUGCUAUCGCUAGGGGGUUUAGCUCAGUUGGUAGAGCGCCUGCUUUGCAAGCAGGAUGUCAGCGGUUCGAGUCCGCUAACCUCCACUGAUAAAUUUCAGCAACUCAUGAUGUCUAAUAGAGACUUCAUAGCCUGCUGGAUAUUUUAUCCAGUCAGAACCUAGAAAACUGCAUAAAGAUUAGUCAGGUAAGUAGUAACCACUGAAGAUUGAGAAAUCAAUUCUUGUAGUGGCUUUACAGACAAUACCAAACAAAAAUACUUAGAAAUAAGUGGUCAAGCUAC